UUAUCUGGAGUGUGUUUUGGAAGAUAAGGAUCUGAGCGACUGUACAUGUACACGCAAGGCGAGGAAAAGGAAUCGGGUGGUGAGACAAACAGUGCCGAGAAGUGUCCGCCAUGAGCGCAACAACUUUGCUGUUGUUGAUGUUGGCUUUCCCUGCCAUGUGGGCUGCUCCAGCUACUGAAACACUGUGCGUGACAAGAGGAGGAGAGUGCGACCCAACGAUACCCCAUGAUGCUCUGUUCACCUGGGGCCGUGGGCAGUGUUGCCAUAGCUACGAGUGGUGUAUGGGGUGGAUUCUAGAGGAUGGUACACAGGUACACAGGUGUACAUUGCCAUUGUGAAACAAAAGAAGAAUGAGAAUUACAAAAACCAGAAAGUGUCAUAAUUCUUCUUCAACUGUUGACAUUAUUUGUAUUCCGAAAAUCUGAUCAUUACGAUUUACUAUAAUUUAAAAAAAACGGUUGUGUGACUAAUCAUCAACAGUAUUUUUUAUACAUAUUAUAUCAGAAAUGAUUUCGAAAUAAAGGAAAAAAGUGUCAACCUUGAAUUAAUCUCCUGUCAUUGGCGGCUUCUAUGAACUAAUUAAUUUAUUUUCUUACUAGCUUACAUACCCUAAACCCUCGUCUCUGUAAUAGGAGAGGAGUAGAAUUCUACACUAUCAUAAAAAUGAGGAAUGAAUAAAGCAACAAAGGGUAACAUCAUUUCUAAAAGGUGUAUCCUACUUUUUCCUAAUCCCAGAUUACAGAACAGCUCGGGAGGCGUGUGUGUGUGGAGGGGGAACGGUUCCCACUGCCAAACCUUUGACUUUUUUCACUUUGACCUUUCUCUUAAAUGGAUGUCACGCACCACAUGGUGAUUCCCAGGACUACAGUCUGUUGUCUUUCUCUAGACAUGAGUCAAGGUCAAAAGUUGCAUACAAACACAUUGUUGUUAGUCACUCCUCCCUAGAGAGGUAAUCUUGACUUCAGACCUCAAGCUUUGUGGAAGCUGUGGACACCGUCAUCCUAAAAGAGAACAGAGAUCGCUGACCGCCAUGAUUUCUCUACCUUUGCUGCUUGUCCUUUGUGUCUUAACCGGCGAAGUCACAUCUUUGCUCGACUCAACGUGUGUUGGUUUGGGCCAGAAGUGUGACCCCGAGGCGACCUCAGGUCAAGAGGGUCACUGUUGCUUUGGGUGGUGCAGGUCUUUACACCUGUCUGACGGAAGUGUAGACCAUGUAUGUCGAACGAUACUUCCGAACCUCCCUUGAGAAGCAUUAGCAUCCGGUGACCUCACGAGCCUUACACAGUUUCUGAAGACUUGCAACGAUUUCGAAAUCAGUGUUUAUACCGGCGUUAACAUACUUCUUUUGAAAGCUGUUUUACAGUAAGAUUGCCGAAUAAAACAAUAUUUUAGGCUC